AUAAAUUCCAAAAAAUUAAAUCUCAGAUGUUUGCAUAAUAACACUUACAACUCAGUCAAUUCAUCCAUGUGAUUAAACUCAGAGGGAAUUUGUCCCUUCACACUCUGUCCUGAGAGUGCACUGUUCAUGAGGGAAACAUGAAGAAUUAUCAGAUCCUGGUACGUAUGAGAAACCGGUAGUGGUCUGGAAAACUAGAUAUGCAGAGCAGGAAAGUAAGUUCUAGAAUGAACAAGAAAUUUACCAACAUGAAUGCAUUACAUUUUUGUUAUUCUUGGUGGCGCUGUUGAGCUGCAAAUUACCCAUUCCCAAUGAGCUGGAACACAAGGAUCACCU